AAGACGGCCCUAUGGGUUGUAAACUGCUUUUGUACGGGAAGAACUACAUUUACGUGUAAAUGUUUGACGGUACCGUAAGAAUAAGGAUCGGCUAACUCCGUGC
rnacentral:rRNA from 1 species